UGGGGCAGCCUUACCAGCUCUUGCUGGGAUCCCAUCAAAUCUCACAAGCUAAACGGGGCAGGCCAUGUCAGUACUUGGGAGGAGACUUCUAGCCAGGGGCGGCUCUAG
rnacentral:rRNA from 1 species